CUUUCAGUCUUCGCAUGCCGUUCUCAAAGAGAGUUUGGUUGGGAAAUUGCCACGGAAGAGAUAAAGUACUCGCCACCGCUAAACACUUCGAUGACCAUCGCCACCGCCACCCUUAGAAAGCAAGAAACGUCUGCGUUUUCUCGAACAAAGAAAGAUUGCUUUGCUUUUGGAGUUUCCUUGCAAGAGGGAUUUCGAUAUGUCAAAAGCCACCUUAGUUGGUCAGGCAGGCAAAAAAGCUGAAAUCAAGACAUGAGAAGGAAGCGACAGCAGCUGAACUACAAGCUCAGAAAAUGCAGGUAGCUGGAAAUGUAAAUAUGGAAGACCUCUUCAGUUAUUUAAAUAUACAGCUUGAUAGACAGA